rnacentral:misc_RNA from 1 species
GAUGAAGAACGUAGCGAAAUGCGAUACGUAGUGUGAAUUGCAGAAUUCAGUGAAUCAUCGAAUCUUUGAACGCACAUUGCACCUCUCGGUAUUCCGGGAGGUAUGCCUGUUCGAGCGUCAUUUGUACCCUCAAGCUCUGCUUGGUGUUGGGUGUUUGUUCCGCCUCUGUGUGUGAACUCGCCUCAAAACAAUUGGCAGCCGGCGUACUUGUUUCGGAGCGCAGCACAUUUUGCGAUCCAGAUCAACGUACAGCGGCAUCCAAGAAGCCUUAUUUAACGCUCUUGACCUCGGAUCAGGUAAGGAUACCCGCUGAACUUAAGCAUAUCAAUAAGCGGAGGA